CCUACGGGAGGCAGCAGUAGGGAAUAUUGCUCAAUGGGGGAAACCCUGAAGCAGCAACGCCGCGUGGAGGAUGAAGGUUUUCGGAUUGUAAACUCCUUUUGUUAGAGAAGAUAAUGACGGUAUCUAACGAAUAAGCACCGGCUAACUCCGUGACAGCAGCCGCGGUCAUAAGGAGGGUGCAAGGUUUACUCGGAAUCACUGGGCGUAAAGAGCGCGGAGGCGGGAUAGCAAGUCAGAUGUGAAAGUCUAUGGCUUAACUAUAGAACUGCAUUUGAAACUGUUAGUCUAGAGUAUGUGUGAGGUAGGUGGAAUUCUUGGUGUAGGGGUAAAAUCCGUAGAGAUCAAGAGGAAUACUCAUUGCGAAGGCGACCUGCUAGAGCAUAACUGACGCUGAUGCGCGAAAGCGUGGGGAGCAAACAGGAUUAGAUACCCUUGUAGUC
rnacentral:rRNA from 1 species